rnacentral:rRNA from 1 species
AGAUUGAACGCUGGCGGCAUGCCUUACACAUGCAAGUCGAACGGCAGCACGGGAGCAAUCCUGGUGGCGAGUGGCGAACGGGUGAGUAAUACAUCGGAACGUGCCCAAUCGUGGGGGAUAACGCAGCGAAAGCUGUGCUAAUACCGCAUAAGAUCUACGGAUGAAAGCAGGGGAUCGCAAGACCUUGCGCGAAUGGAGCGGCCGAUGGCAGAUUAGGUAGUUGGUGAGGUAAAGGCUCACCAAGCCUUCGAUCUGUAGCUGGUCUGAGAGGACGACCAGCCACACUGGGACUGAGACACGGCCCAGACUCCGUACGGGAGCAGCAGGUGGGAAUUUGGACAAG